rnacentral:rRNA from 1 species
GAACGCUGGCGGCGUGCCUAAUACAUGCAAGUCGAGCGGACCUGAUGGAGUGCUUGCACUCCUGAUGGUUAGCGGCGGACGGGUGAGUAACACGUAGGCAACCUGCCCUCAAGACUGGGAUAACUACCGGAAACGGUAGCUAAUACCGGAUAAUUUAUUUUGCAGCAUUGUGGAAUAAUGAAAGGCGGAGCAAUCUGUCACUUGAGGAUGGGCCUGCGGCGCAUUAGCUAGUUGGUGGGGUAACGGCCCACCAAGGCGACGAUGCGUAGCCGACCUGAGAGGGUGAACGGCCACACUGGGACUGAGACACGGCCCAGACUCCUACGGGAGGCAGCAGUAGGGAAUCUUCCGCAAUGGGCGAAAGCCUGACGGAGCAACGCCGCGUGAGUGAUGAAGGUUUUCGGAUCGUAAAGCUCUGUUGCCAAGGAAGAACGUCUUCUAGAGUAACUGCUAGGAGAGUGACGGUACUUGAGAAGAAAGCCCCGGCUAACUACGUGCCAACAACCGCGGUAAUACGUAGGGGGCAAGCGUUGUCCGGAAUUAUUGGGCGUAAAGCGCGCGCAGGCGGUUCUUUAAGUCUGGCGUUUAACCCCACAGGUUUAACUUUUGCUCCCACUGUAACCUGGGGGAACUUGACUGCCAAGAUGAUAGUGAAAUUCCACGCGUAC